rnacentral:rRNA from 1 species
AUUGAACGCUGGCGGCAUGCCUUACACAUGCAAGUCGAACGGCAUCGCGGGAAAGCUUGCUUUCCUGGCGGCGAGUGGCGAACGGGUGAGUAACACAUCGGAACGUACCGGCUGGUGGGGGAUAACCCGUCGAAAGACGGCCUAGUACCGCAUACGCUCUUCGGUGGAAAGCAGGGGACCUUUGGGCCUUGCGCUAGUCGAGCGGCCGAUGUCCGAUUAGCUAGUUGGUGGGGUAAAGGCCUACCAAGGCGACGAUCGGUAGCGGGUCUGAGAGGACGAUCCGCCACACUGGGACUGAGACACGGCCCAGACUCCUACGGGAGGAAGCAGUGGGGACUCUUGGACAAUGGGGGCAAGCCGGAUCCAGCAAUGCCGCGUGGGUGAAGAAGGCCUUCGGGUUGUAAAGCCCUUUCGGUAGGGAAGAAAUCGGCGGGGCGAAUAACCCUGCUGGAUGACGGUACCUGGAGAAGAAGCACCGGCUAACUACGUG